rnacentral:lncRNA from 1 species
AGCUAGCUACUUGGUAAACUGAGAUUCGAGAAAUACUGCCUCCGAGACAAUGGAGUGCGGCAAGUAGAUGAUACUCGAUCUUUAUGUCCAUCUGGAUGUGAUGUUUUAAGAGAACCUUGGAAAGACAAACACACACAACAAUAUAUGCAGAUCUAACCCGAAUUAAGCUAGCUUCUUGCUAGCUCUUCUUGCCCUUUUUAGGCCGUACAAAUCAAGACAUGCACCUGGUCCAUUAAAGAGAGAUCAAAGAAGAUAUUACCACGACAUGACGCAUAUAUUGGCAUAAAAUCGAGUCUAGCUUUCAGAUAUUUUGAUGGACAAAUAAAUCUUGAUGAAACCAGGAACAUGGCAAGGUUUCUGGCUCCCCAUGAAUGUACCUUAUUCAGGAUAUAUGUACCACCUGGCUAGAUUUGUUUAAUACGUAUCAAGCGCAGGCCUGCUUAGCUUCCUUCUUCUUUAGACAAGGGCAACUUCUGGAUGAUUCCUUGGUCGGCAACAAGAUAGGUAUACUUCGGCUUCGGCAUCGAUGUGGCAUGUUCUGAUUGGUGCCGGCGCCAAACCUAGGCAGUUAGGGGGAGUUAACUGCAAUUAGUUUAGGUAUAUGCAGUUGGUUUAUGUAUAUAUGUUUACAUACGCAAUUGGUUCAACAGCUUAGUUUAAAUAGAUGGAGUGUCAUUUGAAAGGCCGUUAAUUAAUAGAAAUAUACUUAUAUGUAUUAUCGACACUGAAGCCGAUAGAUAUGUCAUUUGAGUAAAGAACUUGGCAUGUUAAUUGUAUAUUUGUACACAGAUAUUCAACUGGUGCAGCUAGCUCAUGAAAAUAAUUGGACAAGUGAAGAUGAAGUUGAGCUAGCUUUGUUGCAAAUGCAUACGGCCGGAAAUGAACGAUGAAGUACAUCAAUUCUGUUUCAAGUCAGUUCUGGCAUCGCGCUUAAUGCAAUUCCUUCUUUUCUUCUCAGAAACCUGCAGUUCCGGCAUCAGUACGUAUUAGCUUGUUAAACACUGCACCUCCCAUUGGACCUGUUCAAACAGUUUUAAGGUCUUUGCAGGCU